rnacentral:rRNA from 1 species
CAGGUCACUCCUACGGGAGGCAGCAGUGGGGAAUUUUGCGCAAUGGGGGAAACCCUGACGCAGCAAUGCCGCGUGAGUGAUGAAGGCCUUAGGGUUGUAAAGCUCUUUCGGCGGGGACGAUGAUGACGGUACCCGCAGAAGAAGCCCCGGCUAACUUCGUGCCAGCAGCCGCGGUAAUACGAAGGGGGCUAGCGUUGCUCGGAAUCACUGGGUGUAAAGCGCACGUAGGUGGGUCGUUAAGUCGGGGGUGAAAUCCUGGAGCUCAACUCCAGAACUGCCUUCGAUACUGGCGAUCUUCGAGUCCGGGAGAGGUGAGUGGAACUGCGAGUGUAGAGGUGAAAUUCGUAGAUAUUCGCAAGAACACCAGUGGCGAAGGCGACUCACUGGCCCGUUACUGACGCUGAGGCGCGAAAGCCAGGGGAGCAAACGGGAUUAGAUACCCCGGUAGUCCUGGCCCUAAACGAUGAAUGCUUGGUGUGGCGGGUAUCGAUCCCUGCCGUGCCGAAGCUAACGCAUUAAGCAUUCCGCCUGGGGAGUACGGUCGCAAGGCUGAAACUUAAAGGAAUUGACG